GUUUACGGACAUAUCACGUUGAAAACAUGUCCGUCAUUCCGUGCGAUCUGGUAAGUUAAACAACAUUGGGGCUGGUUAGUACUUGGACUGGAGGUUUCAGAAUUUUAUGAAAU
rnacentral:rRNA from 1 species